rnacentral:rRNA from 1 species
UACAGAGGUCUCAAGCGUUGUUCGGAUUCAUUGGGCGUAAAGGGUGCGUAGGCGGCGCGGUAAGUCGGGUGUGAAAUUUCGGAGCUUAACUCCGAAACUGCAUUCGAUACUGCGGCGCUUGAGGACUGGAGAGGAGACUGGAAUUCAUGGUGUAGCAGUGAAAUGCGUAGAGAUCAUGAGGAAGACCAGUGGCGAAGGCGGGUCUCUGGACAGUUCCUGACACUGAGGCACGAAGGCCAGGGGAGCAAACGGG